rnacentral:rRNA from 1 species
GAUGAACGCUGGCGGCGUGCCUAAUACAUGCAAGUCGAGCGAACGGACGAGAAGCUUGCUUCUCUGAUGUUAGCGGCGGACGGGUGAGUAACACGUGGAUAACCUACCUAUAAGACUGGGAUAACUUCGGGAAACCGGAGCUAAUACCGGAUAAUAUUUUGAACCGCAUGGUUCAAAAGUGAAAGACGGUCUUGCUGUCACUUAUAGAUGGAUCCGCGCUGCAUUAGCUAGUUGGUAAGGUAACGGCUUACCAAGGCAACGAUGCAUAGCCGACCUGAGAGGGGGAUCGGCCAACCGGGAACUGGGACACGGUCCAAGCCCCUACGGGGGGCAGCAGUGGGGAAUCUUCCGCAAUGGGCGAAAGCCUGACGGGGCAACGCCGGGGGGGGGAUGAAGGUUUUCGGAUCGUAAAACGCUUUUAUUGGGGAAGAAAAUAUGGGAAAGGAACGGGGCAAAUCUUGACGGUACCUAAUAAGAAAGCCACGGCUAACUACGG